GAGGCUGAAUUCUGAAGAGGUUUCUCCCACAGGAGUCUACAUUUGGAUGAUUUGAUGUUUCUCUGCCUCGACAUCAAACCUCUUCAUGUUCUAAUUGCGUAAAGACUUACAGGUAAGCAUUUCUGAAGUCAUUUUCAGGCAUGUAAGAUGAGUGUUUAGAUAAGAAGUAAAAAGACGGUGCUUAUAUUGUCAGGCAUCUAAUCAUCUACUGAAAGCCAGAAGGGCAGUAAGUUGUAUACUUUAAUGUGAAAGCAGCCCUUUUGACUUUUAACAGAUUUAAGGAUCUAUGAGGUUCAAAGGUUUCUUGGGUGUGUUGUAGGCCACAAGCCUAAGAACCAAUCCAUAGGGUCUCUGCAUUUUCAUAUCUACUCUGGAUAUAUAAGCAAGUAUUUAUGUUGUGUGGAUCCAUUUGACACAAAGAUUGGAAAAGGUACUUUACGACUUGCUGAUUGUCAAGAAAUGGCUUUGGAUUUGUCCACAGUGAUGUGAGUUCUGAAAUGUAAGGAUGAUUUAUAGUAAAUACAUUAAUAUCUACUGUAGAUAUACAGAUAUCACUGCUGUAAGGACUUUUGAAAAAUCAACAACAUUUUGUCACUCAAAAAAAAAAAAUCCUUGUUGCUUAAGAUAUCUGUUGAAGGCAGAGAGAGGUGCACGUCCUUCGCAAUGGUGCAAGCAUUCUUGAGAUUGGUUCUAAAUUUAAAUUGUUGAAGCUCGUCAAGCAAACAAAGUUAUGUCUCUUUCAGUGCGUGCUCCUUGGUAUGCAGGCUGUAAUUUGCUAACAAAUUUAAUUUGUCAGAACCCUUUGCAGUUGUUUACGGGAGGGAUAUACUGUUACCGGGGACUCUGAUGUAACAACAAGGAUAAGAUAUAAUUUGAUUAGAGGGAAUGCGAUAGGUAAACAAAUGGAGGAACAAGCAACAAGGCGAGAGAGAGGGGGAGAGAGAGGGGGAGAGAGUGAGAGAGAGCGAGCAAGCGCUAAGAGAGCUUAGUAAGGAGGGAGAAAUGGGAGAGAGAUGACGAAACAGAAAGAGUUUUAGGGAGAAGAAAAGAAAGGAAGAUAGAGAGAGAGAGAGCGAGCAAGAGGAGGUGGAAAUAGAAUAUUGGAGGAGAAAUGAGGGGGGAGAGAGAGAGAGAGAGAGAGAGAGAGGGGGGUGGGGGAGAAAGGAAGUGAAAGGAGAAAUUAUAGGAGAGAGGAAAAAAAAUUAAAAGAAAAUAAUGCCUGCAAUGCAAUGUAGAGAGAAACUUAGAAUAAAUCAGAAGCAUAGCUAUGGAAUACAAUAUAUUUCAGGAUUAAGAAAUUGUAUGGAGUGAGGUUUAUUACGUACCUUUAGUUACCCCCAAAAAAAUGUUUAUAGAAGUAUUAUGAAUAGAUGUGGAAAGGGUGCUUCUUCCAGAUGAAAAAAAA